rnacentral:rRNA from 1 species
UUAAGAAAGAGAAGAGCAUUUUGUGGAUGCCUUGGCACUGAGAGGCGAUGAAGGACGUGACAGGCUGCGAAAAGCCAUGGGGAGCUGCCAAUAAGCUUUGAUCCGUGGAUGUCCGAAUGGGGAAACCCAUCGCGCGAGCGAUAGGAUCUUUUGAAUACAUAGAAAGAUCCGGCAAACCCUGUGAACUGAAUCAUCUCAGUAACAGGAGGAAAGGAAAUCAACCGAGACUCCGUUAGUAGUGGCGAGCGAACGCGGACCAGGCCAGUCUCUCACAUUAGAAAGACCAGAACGGUUUGGAAAAGCCGGCCAGAGAGGGUGAUAGCCCCUUAAGGGAAGAGAUGAUGUGAGGGCACGAGUAGGACGGGACACGUGAAAUCCUGUUUGAACAUGGGGGGACCACCCUCCAAGCCUAAGUACUCCUCAGUGACCGAUAGUGAACAAGUACCGUGAGGGAAAGGUGAAAAGAACCCCGAUGAGGGGAGUGAAAUAGAAUCUGAAACAGGAUGCUUACAAGCAGUAGGAGCAGGGGAAACCCUGUGACUGCGUACCUUUUGUAUAAUGGGUCAGCGAGUUAAUCUUUGUAGCAAGCUUAAGCCGAUAGGUGUAGGCGCAGCGAAAGCGAGUCUGAAUAGGGCGACAAGUUACAGGGAUUAGACCCGAAACCGAGUGAUCUAGCCAUGGACAGGUUGAAGACACGGUAACACGUGUUGGAGGACCGAACCCACUACUGUUGCAAAAGUAGGGGAUGAUCUGUGGUUAGGGGUGAAAGGCUAAUCAAACUCGGAAAUAGCUGGUUCUCCGCGAAAUCUAUUUAGGUAGAGCGUUUGAGUAGCGCCACUGGGGGUAGAGCACUGGAUGGGCUAGGGGGGAGCGAUCCCUACCAAACCUAACCAAACUCCGAAUACCGGUGAGCGAACAUCAAGCAGACAGACGGUGGGUGCUAAGGUCCAUCGUCGAGAGGGAAACAGCCCUGACCGCCAGCUAAGGUCCCUAAGUUAUGGCUAAGUGGGAAAGGAUGUGGGAAGGCCAAGACAGCCAGGAGGUUGGCUUAGAAGCAGCCAUCCUUUAAAGAAAGCGUAAUAGCUCACUGGUCUAGUUAAGCUAGCCUGCGCCGAAAAUGUACCGGGGCUCAAGCCAUACACCGAAGCUGCGGAUGCCAUGGAUCUACGGAUUCAUGGCGUGGUAGCGGAGCGUUCUGUAAGCCUGUGAAGGGUGAACCGUGAGGACACCUGGAGGUAUCGGAAGCGAGAAUGCUGACAUAAGUAGCGUAAUAAGGGAGGUGAGAAACCUCCCCGCCGUAAGUCCAAGGGUUCCUCGGCAAGGUUAAUCCGCCGAGGGUGAGCCGGCCCCUAACACGAGGCAGAGAUGCGUAGUGGAUGGGAAUCAGGUUAAUAAUCCUGAGCCUGUGGGAUGUGACGAAUUCUGUAAGUUGUCUGAAGUUAACGGAUUCUGAGGGCAGCGAAGGGGUUCCUGGAAAUAACACCCACGUAAAAGACCGUACCCGAAACCGACACUGGUGGACGAGUAGAGUAUACUCAGGCGAUUGAGAGAAUGAUGUUGAAGGAACUCGGCAAAUUGCUCCUGUAACUUCGGGAUAAGGGAGGCCUCUUUAUGGGCAACCAUAGAGAGGUGGCACAAGCUAGGGGGUAGCGACUGUUUAACAAAAACACAGGACUCUGCAAAGUCGAAAGACGACGUAUAGGGUCUGACGCCUGCCCGGUGCCGGAAGGUUAAAAGGAGGUGUGCAAGCACCGAAUUGAAGCCCCGGUAAACGGCGGCCGUAACUAUAACGGUCCUAAGGUAGCGAAAUUCCUUGUCGGGUAAGUUCCGACCUGCACGAAUGGCGUAACGACUUCCCCACUGUCUCCAACAUCACCUCAGCGAAAUUGAAUUCUCCGUGAAGAUGCGGAGUAACCGCGGUCAGACGGAAAGACCCCGUGCACCUUUACUACAACUUUGCAGUGGUAUUAGGGAUUUUAUGUGUAGCAUAGGUGGGAGCCGAUGAAGCGCUGGCGCCAGCUGGUGUGGAGGCACAAGUGAAAUACCACCCUUAAAAUCUUUGAUAUCUAACCGAGCUCUGUGAAACCAGAGCCGGGACCCUGCAUGGUGGGUAGUUUGACUGGGGCGGUCGCCUCCCAAAGAGUAACGGAGGCGCGCGAUGGUAGGCUCAGGUUGGUCGGAAAUCAACUGAUGAGUGCAAUGGCAAAAGCCUGCCUAACUGCGAGAGAGACACCUCGAGCAGAGACGAAAGUCGGUCAUAGUGAUCCGGUGGUUUCCAUGUGGAAGGGCCAUCGCUCAACGGAUAAAAGGUACGCCGGGGAUAACAGGCUGAUCUCCCCCAAGAGUUCAUAUCGACGGGGAGGUUUGGCACCUCGAUGUCGGCUCAUCACAUCCUGGGGCUGAAGCAGGUCCCAAGGGUUUGGCUGUUCGCCAAUUAAAGUGGUACGUGAGCUGGGUUCAGAACGUCGUGAGACAGUUCGGUCCCUAUCUGCCGUGGUUGUUGGAAAAUUGAGAGGAGCUGUCCCUAGUACGAGAGGACCGGGAUGGACGUACCUCUGGUGUACCGGUUGUGACGCCAGUCGCAGCGCCGGGUAGCUAAGUACGGACGAGAUAACCGCUGAAAGCAUCUAAGCGGGAAACUCUCCUCAAAACAAGUUUUCCCUAUGAGAACCGUGAUAGACCAUCACGUUGAUAGGCGCGGUGUGUAAGCUCAGUAAUGGGUUCAGCUAACGCGUACUAAUCGUUCCAUUGUCUUAAUUCUUUCUC